rnacentral:tRNA from 1 species
GGAGUUGUGGCUCAGUGGUAGAGCACAUGUCUAGCAUGUGUGAGGCACUGGGUUUGAUUCUCAGCACUGCA